AGUGAACGCUGGCGGUAGGCCUACACAUGCAAGUCGCACGGCAGCACAGUAAGAGCUUGCUCUUACGGGUGGCGAGUGGCGGACGGGUGAGGAAUACAUCGGAAUCUACUUUUUCGUGGGGGAUAACGUAGGGAAACUUACGCUAAUACCGCAUACGACCUACGGGUGAAAGCAGGGGAUCUUCGGACCUUGCGCGAUUGAAUGAGCCGAUGUCGGAUUAGCUAGUUGGCGGGGUAAAGGCCCACCAAGGCGACGAUCCGUAGCUGGUCUGAGAGGAUGAUCAGCCACACUGGAACUGAGACACGGUCCAGACUCCUACGGGAGGCAGCAGUGGGGAAUAUUGGACAAUGGGCGCAAGCCUGAUCCAGCCAUACCGCGUGGGUGAAGAAGGCCUUCGGGUUGUAAAGCCCUUUUGUUGGGAAAGAAAAGCAGCAGGUUAAUACCCCGCUGUUCUGACGGUACCCAAAGAAUAAGCACCGGCUAUCUUCGUG
rnacentral:rRNA from 1 species